rnacentral:rRNA from 1 species
AGUUUGACUAAGUUAUAUUAAUUAGAGUUGGUAAAUCUCGUGCCAGCCACCGCGGUCAUACGAUUAACCCAAAUUAAUAGAUCCACGGCGUAAAGAGUGUUUAAGAAAAAAAAAUCACAAUAGAGUUAAAUUAUAACUAAGCUGUAAAAAGCCCUAGUUAAAAUAAAAUAACCCACGAAAGUGACUCUAAUAAUCCUGACACACGAUAGCUAGGACCCAAACUGGGAUUAGAUACCCCACUAUGCCUAGCCCUAAACCCAAAUAGUUACAUAACAAAACUAUUCGCCAGAGUACUACUCGCAACUGCCUAAAACUCAAA